rnacentral:rRNA from 1 species
AAUGCUUAGGAAUCUGCCUAUUAGUGGGGGACAACAUUCCGAAAGGAAUGCUAAUACCGCAUACGCCCUACGGGGGAAAGCAGGGGAUCUUCGGACCUUGCGCUAAUAGAUGAGCCUAAGUCAGAUUAGCUAGUUGGUGGGGUAAAGGCCUACCAAGGCGACGAUCUGUAGCGGGUCUGAGAGGAUGAUCCGCCACACUGGGACUGAGACACGGCCCAGACUCCUACGGGAGGCAGCAGUGGGGAAUAUUGGACAAUGGGCGAAAGCCUGAUCCAGCCAUGCCGCGUGUGUGAAGAAGGCCUUUUGGUUGUAAAGCACUUUAAGCGAGGAGGAGGCUACCGAGAUUAAUACUCUUGGAUAGUGGACGUUACUCGCAGAAUAAGCACCGGCUAACUCUGUGCCAGCAGCCGCGGUAAUACAGAGGGUGCGAGCGUUAAUCGGAUUUACUGGGCGUAAAGCGUGCGUAGGCGGCUUUUUAAGUCAGAGGUGAAAGCCCGGGGCUCAACCCCGGAACUGCCUUUGAGACUGGAUUGCUUGAAUCCUGGAGAGGUGAGUGGAAUUCCGAGUGUAGAGGUGAAAUUCGUAGAUAUUCGGAAG